AUUGAACGCUGGCGGCAGGCCUAACACAUGCAAGUCGAGCGGAUGAAGGGAGCUUGCUCCUGGAUUCAGCGGCGGACGGGUGAGUAAUGCCUAGGAAUCUGCCUGGUAGUGGGGGAUAACGUCCGGAAACGGGCGCUAAUACCGCAUACGUCCUGAGGGAGAAAGUGGGGGAUCUUCGGACCUCACGCUAUCAGAUGAGCCUAGGUCGGAUUAGCUAGUUGGUGGGGUAAAGGCCUACCAAGGCGACGAUCCGUAACUGGUCUGAGAGGAUGAUCAGUCACACUUGAACUGAGACACGGUCCAGACUCCUACGGGAGGCAGCAGUGGGGAAUUUUGGACCAUGGGCGAAAGCCUGAUCCAGCCAUGCCGCGUGUUUGAAGAAGGUCUUCGGAUUGUAAAGCACUUUAAGUUGGGAGGAAGGGCAGUAAGUUAAUACCUUGCUGCUUUGACGUUACCAACAGAAUAAGCACCGGCUAACUUCGUG
rnacentral:rRNA from 1 species